CCCAGCCGUAAACGAUGGACGCUAGGUGUGGGGAUCGAAUGGUUUCCGCGCCGCAGCUAACGCAUUAAGCGUCCCGCCUGGGGAGUACGGCCGCAAGGCUAAAACUCAAAGGAAUUGACGGGGGCCCGCACAAGCAGCGGAGCAUGUGGCUUAAUUCGAAGCAACGCGAAGAACCUUACCAGGGCUUGACAUGCGCGUAAAGCGGCGGAAACGCCGUGGCCGAAAGGAGCGCGCACAGGUGGUGCAUGGCUGU
rnacentral:rRNA from 1 species